rnacentral:rRNA from 1 species
GACGUAGGGCGCGAGCGUUGUCCGGAUUUAUUGGGCGUAAAGAGCUCGUAGGCGGCUUGUCGCGUCGAAUGUGAAAACCCGAGGCUCAACUUCGGGCUUGCAUUCGAUACGGGCAGGCUGGAGUUCGGUAGGGGAGACUGGAAUUCCUGGUGUAGCGGUGAAAUGCGCAGAUAUCAGGAGGAACACCGGUGGCGAAGGCGGAUCUCUGGGCCAUUACUGACGCUGAGGAGCGAAAGCGUGGGGAGCGAACAGG